ACACAGUUAGUUAAAUGGUAUAACUCUGACCUUCCAAGUUAGUAUUAUGGAUUCGAUUUCCAUACUGUGUA
rnacentral:tRNA from 1 species